CGCCAGAAUUUCAAUCCGUUACGAACGACCGUGUGUCCGUACGUCACGUACGUUCCGGACUCGUUGCGAACCGAGUGCCGUAACGCGUCGGUCUGCGCGUGUUCGCAGUGCGCCCGGAACCAAGCGUGAAAACCAUUGUGAUUGCAUUUAAUACAAAACAACCGAGCACAUUGCUUGGGACGUUGGACGUUUUCGCGAUCGUGUCUGCGUGUGACAAUCGUCGCUCAUUCCAGAGUUCGUACAUACUCGGGGAUACGUACCCAAUCGUUCGGGGACAAUGCGGUGUUCGAAACACGUUCCGUAAUAAUCAUUCGUUAGUUUCGCCGUUUCGGUUAAAAUAAUAAAAACCCAAUAAAUUCGCUGUG